rnacentral:rRNA from 1 species
AUGGCCCGUGCUACUGUUCCUUUGAAUUUUAAUGCGUUCCUAGAGAAAGCUAAGUUGAAAGAUGAUGGUAGAAACUACACGGACUGGGUCCGUAACUUGAGGAUUAUCCUCAUUGCUGCACAGAAGAAUUACGUCCUGGAAGCACCGCUAGGUGCAAGACCCGCUGCAGGAGCAACACCGGACGUUAUGAAUGUCUGGCAGAGCAAAGCUGAUGACUACUCGAUAGUUCAGUGUGCCAUGCUUUACGACUUAGAACCGGGACUUCAACGACGUUUUGAACGUCAUGGAGCAUAUGAGAUGUUCCAGGAGUUGAAGUUAAUAUUUCAAGCAAAUGCCCGGAUUGAGAGAUAUGAAGUCUCCAAUAAGUUCUACAGCUGCAAAAUGGAGGAGAAUAGUUCUGUCAGUGAACAUAUACUCAAAAUGUCUGGGUACCACAAUCACUUGACUCAACUGGGGGGUUAA